rnacentral:rRNA from 1 species
UGAGCUGUGGAUAGGGGUGAAAGGCCAAUCAAACUACGUGAUAGCUGGUUCUCCCCCGAAAUGCAUAUAGGUGCAGCGUCGCGUGUUUCUUACCGGAGGUAGAGCACUGGAUGGUCUAGGGGGCCCACAAGCUUACCGAAAUCAGCCAAACUCCGAAUGCCGGUAAGUGAGAGCGCGGCAGUGAGACUGUGGGGGAUAAGCUUCAUAGUCGAGAGGGAAACAGCCCAGAACACCAGCUAAGGCCCCAAAGAGAUUGCUAAGUGGAAAAGGAUGUGGAGUUGCACAGACAACCAGGAGGUUGGCUUGGAAGCAGCCACCCUUGAAAGAGUGCGUAAUAGCUCACUGGUCAAGUGAUUCUGCGCCGACAAUUUAGCGGGGCUCAAGCAAUCCGCCGAAGCUGUGUCAUUCGCGCAAUAGCCAGGCCUUCGUGGUCCAGGCGCGCGGAU